AUCAAAGGGCUUCGGUACCGGAUUGGGAGCGGUUUAUGUCGUAUCAGUUUGUUGGUGAGGUAACGGCUCACCAAGACUUCGACGCGUAGCGGGACUGAGAGGUUGGCCCGCCAUAUCGGGACUGAGACACUGCCCGGACCUCCACGGAGGGCUGCAGUAACGGAUAUUGCGCAAUGGGCGAAAGCCUGACGCAGCGACGCCGCGUGUAGGACGAAACCCUUCGGGGUGUAAACUACUGUCAGGGUGAAGAAAGGUGAGGGCUGUAAUGCCCGAUCUUGAUCGAUCCCAAAGGAAGGCCCGGCUAACUUCGUGCCAGCAGCCGCGGUAAUACGAAGGGGCCAAGCGUUGUUCGGAAUCACUGGGCUUAAAGCGCAUGUAGGCGGACUACCCAGUGUCUUGUGAAAUCCCUCGGCUUAACCGAGGAACUGCAGGGCAUACUGGUAGUCUUGAGACAAGUAGGGGUGCACGGAACUCUGGGUGGAGCGGUGAAAUGCGUAGAUAUCCAGAGGAACGCCAGCGGAGAAAUCGGUGCACUGGGCUUGUUCUGACGCUGAGAUGCGAAAGCGUGGGGAGCGAAACGGGAUUAGAUACCCCCGGUAGUCCACGCUGUAAACGAUGUCUACUAGGUCGCGGUAACUCUGACGUUUUCGCGGCCGAAGCAAAAGUGUUAAGUAGACCGCCUGGGGAGUACGGUCGCAAGGCUAAAACUCAAAGGAAUUGACGGGGGCUCACACAAGCGGUGGAGCAUGUGGCUUAAUUCGAAGCAACGCGAAGAACCUUAUCCUGGGUUUGACAUAUUUGGAUGCUCUUGGUGAAAGCCAAGCAGGCUGCCUUCGGGUGAAACUUAUACAGGUGCUGCAUGGCUGUCGUCAGCUCGUGUCGUGAGAUGUUGGGUUAAGUCCUUAAACGAGCGAAACCCUUGUCGUUAGUUGCCAGCGCGUUAUGGCGGGGACUCUAACGAGACUGCCGGUGUCAAACCGGAGGAAGGCGGGGAUGACGUCAAGUCCUCAUGGCCUUUAUGCCCAGGGCUGCACACGUGCUACAAUGGUGCGGACAAACCGACGCAAGACCGCGAGGUGGAGCAAAUCGGAAAAACCGUGCCUCAGUUCGGAUUGCAGGCUGCAACUCGCCUGCAUGAAGUCGGAAUCGCUAGUAAUCGUAGAUCAGCUAUGCUACGGUGAAUGUGUUCCUGAGCCUUGU
rnacentral:rRNA from 1 species